UCGAUAUCGCACGGACGACUCCACCGACAGUGUUGGCUGAUCGGGGGGGUCGGUGCAAAGUCAAAAUCAUCGCCUCCGGAAACUGGAAUCAAUCGAGAAAUAAUAGCCAUUUACUGAUUGCUUGUUCUAGCAAUCUUCCCCCGAAGAAUCCUCCCUGUUCUUGGCUUUCGUUAAAGUACUACCUCCCAUGGAAUUCUUUAAGUUAUUGUGAUUUUCCUCAUAAUAAUUUGGCCCACCUGAAAAGACAGCAAUGGGGGAAAAGGGCGACUCUUCUGCGUUCGACUUCUUGAUCGGAUUUUAGGCUGCAAGUGUUGAUGUUGCAGUACAAGCCUUAACCUACCUUUUUCGGAAAGGAAGAGAGGAGGAAGUUAGGGUUUCGAUCUGCCAGACAUAGAUGGCCAUGCGGUGGAGCUUGGUCAUUUACUUCAUGAGCGUGGUAUGGGCGGCACUCAAUGGUUGGGUCUCUGCGUGUUUGAUGGUCGCCGACGAGAUCGCCCGGGGUCUCAGGGCCGGCGACAUCGGCCCGCUACCUAUAGGUUGACCAACGUCGCCGAGGAAUGUUGGAAUCUUGAUAGCUUGGCAGGGAAGAAAGUUAUUUGGCUUUGGACAUAUUACAUGGAAAAGAUGUUUUUUGUGGAUGAACCCAUUGUUGGUUUUUUACUCUAACUUGAUCAUAGGUUGUGUGAGCAAAAUAAAUUGAUGGUGGUUUGCAGAAUUUAUGUGAAAUGAGUGAAUGAGUAUGUUUGAUUUGGAUUUUCAUUUUUCAAAUUUCUAGUGGAGUUGCAGAAAUAUCUUAACUGAAAGGGUGAUAUCAGGCAUCUCUCUGUUAGUUCUUCACUUAUUCUGCUGUUGGUUCUUAACUUAUUCUGCUGGAAUCUUGAUGGAGAUGACAAAUCUCUGUUUCGGCUACCACCUAAGAUGGGAAGGACAAUUAUAGUAUAAUAUGACAGCAAAUGAAAUUGAAAUUCAUCAUUGGAUCAGAUUUGCUUUAUAUCCAUAUGGGGUUUUGGUUGGAAAUCAUCUGAUUUUGUUUGCAUUGCAAUGAUAACAACUUUAUUUCGUGGGCUUAAUUGUUGUGUUCAAUACA